CUUCGAAAUGCUCAUAUAUUAUUUUUUCACGUAAUAAGACCACCAGUGAUUUUAAAUACAAGAUAGGAGAUGUGGAUUUAUCUAGGGUUCAGGUAAUUAAGGAUUUAGGUGUGUUACUAGAUAGUAAGCUAAGUUUCGUGGACCAUUAUGAUGCCAUUAUUGCGCGUUCUAAUCGGACAUUAGGGUUAGUCAUCAGAAUGUCAUAUGAUUUUAAUAAUUUGUUUGUAAUUGUGAGAUCGUUUUUGAGUUAUGUUCGUUCAUUACUAGAAUAUUGUUCAGUGAUUUGGAGUCCAAGUUAUGAGAAUCACAAAUAUCGAAUUGAAUCGAUUCAAAAUAAAUUCGUUAGAUAUCUGCGGUAUAGAUUAGGUACUAGAGGAAUGCAAUUGAAUUCCAGUCAGAUCAUGCAGAUGUUUCACUUGCACCGUCUAGAGGAUCGCAGGCGAUACUUUGACCUUAAUUUCGUAUUUAAGGUGUUAAAUGGUAUUAUUGUUGCAACUAGCAUUCUGGGUCGAAUAGAUUUUUAUGUUCCAGCUAGGAAUUUGAGAAUAUGUCCCUUGCUAUCCGCUAGAUGCAAUACACGUCAUGCAGAAAAUAUGCCUUUAAAUAGAAUUGUUUCUAGUGUAAAUGAGUUUCCAAAUAUAGACUUUAUGGGAGUCACA
rnacentral:lncRNA from 1 species